UACGGAGGAUCCAAGCGUUAUCCGGAUUCAUUGGGUUUAAAGGGUGCGUAGGCGGAAUUGUAAGUCAGUGGUGAAAGCCUGCAGCUUAACUGCAGAAUUGCCAUUGAUACUGCAAAUCUUGAGUACAUUUGAUGUGGGCGGAAUGUGUCAUGUAGCGGUGAAAUGCUUAGAUAUGACACAGAACACCGAUUGCGAAGGCAGCUCACAAAACUGUAAACUGAC
rnacentral:rRNA from 1 species